rnacentral:rRNA from 1 species
CUACGGGGUGCACCAGUGGGGAAUAUUGCACAAUGGAGGAAACUCUGAUGCAGCAACGCCGCGUGGAGGAUGACACUUUUCGGAGCGUAAACUCCUUUUAUAUAGGAAGAAGACGACGGUACUAUAUGAAUAAGCGCCGGCUAACUCCGUGCCAGCAGCCGCGGUAAUACGGAGGGCGCAAGCGUUACUCGGAAUCACUGGGCGUAAAGGGCGUGUAGGCGGAUUAAAGAGUCAGAAGUGAAAUCCUAUAGCUUAACUAUAGAACUGCUUCUGAAACUCUUAAUCUAGAAUAUGGGAGAGGUAGAUGGAAUUUCUGGUGUAGGGGUAACAUCCGUAGAGAUCAGAAGGAAUACCGAUUGCGAAGGCGAUCUACUAGAACAUUAUUGACGCUGAGACGCGAAAGCGUGGGGAGCAAACAGGAUUAGAUACCCUUGUAGUC